UAAUACUCCUAGCCUAAGUUUUUUAUAAAACGCGGGGAAACCACUUUUUUGGGGUGAAUCGUUUUUUACGUAGGUUAUGCCUUUACCGAACCCGUCAGCUAACCCCGUAGGUAAAAGGAGGAAAAAUA
rnacentral:sRNA from 2 species